UACAGAGGUCUCAAGCGUUGUUCGGAAUCACUGGGCGUAAAGCGCACGUAGGCGGCUUCUUAAGUCAGGGGUGAAAUCCUGGAGCUCAACUCCAGAACUGCCUUUGAUACUGAGGAGCUUGAGUCCGGGAGAGGUGAGUGGAACUGCGAGUGUAGAGGUGAAAUUCGUAGAUAUUCGCAAGAACACCAGUGGCGAAGGCGGCUCACUGGCCCGGUACUGACGCUGAGGUGCGAAAGCGUGGGGAGCAAACAGG
rnacentral:rRNA from 1 species